rnacentral:lncRNA from 1 species
GCGGUCAGGCGGAGACGUCUCCGGAGCGCCUGGGACGCGACUGACACACUUUUGCAGGUUUGUUUGAAUUUCAAACGGUAAUAUCUUUGUGUCUAACGGAUCUAUUGCUUGUAGGGCUAUAAAAGGGAGCUUUUAAGUGCCUUUAAACAACUUCUCACCAAAAAAAAAACACAAGAUCAUUCAAGAGAGAAGAAAGAAAAAGAGGUUCAAGGGAGUUGGUGCUUUCAAGAGAAGAAAUCAAGUGCAUUCAAGUUUUCUUCAUCUGAUUUCGUGCUCAACUACUCACUCCCACUCGGCAUUCAAAGCUCGCAUUCAAGCCAACGUGAUCCACAUCGGAAGAACCACCAUUAGCCCACGCUUCCAACGGCAAAAAGGGUUCUUCCGGUUUUGUUGCUUUUCAUUGUUAUAUUUGCUUUCAUAAGAGCUUUUAAAUCUUUGUAAAACAUUUGAUUAUUGUGCUUGUUCCAGUCAAGGGACUUGGAACAAGGGAUAGGCGUCCCAAGCCUAGGUUAAAUUGGGGAAUUGUAGGGUUCGUUGUUAGCCCGGGGUAAAACAACGAGUUGGGUAGUGCACUCGGAAAACUACCGGACUGUAAUCGCUGAUUAUAGUGAAAAUUUCCAAAGGUGUUUGGGGAGUGGAUGUAGGAGCAGUGGAAGCUCCGAACCACUAUAAAUCUUUGUGUUUGCGAUUGACUGUGCUU